UUGAUUUUGCAUUGAUUUUACCUUGCAGGUCAAUUUGGCCUAUUUUAGAUUUUAAUGAAUACUGAGCACUUAUUAACUAAUUGUUUAUUUUGUUCAAAUCAUAAGGAUCAAUAGUGAUAAGAAUGUUAAUGUCAAUCUGGUCUGUCAGUUUUUUUUUUGUAAAUUAUUGUUGCUAAACCAUGGCCUCAAAAUAUAGAUUGCUCCAUAGUUGCAAAUUACUUAAACCAAUGUUGGUACCAGAUAAUACCCAGUAGUUAAACCCAGCAUGUCAACACCUAGGUACUUGACAGAUAAAUGCAUUCCUUAAAAUUUGGAGGGAACUGACAAUCCUAUUUUUAAUAGAUUCAUUCUUUAUCUGGUUCUAGAGUAUGACAGAUAGUUUCGCUUAAUGCGGAUGUGAAAAGGUAGACCCUAUCUUAGCCUAAUUUUUUUGUAGUUACUAGUAUGUGCUAGGAUAGCUUAAUUGCUGAUUUUCUAAGUAGGCCUAAGAGUUUAUAGGGCUCCUUGUUUUUGUUGUGUUAAAUAAACCCCAGAAAAGGCCACAUUCCAUCUUCGGCCUUCCUGUACCUUCUGCUUAUCCUCUGCUUCUGCUUUUGCUGCAUUUUUGUUGUUACUGCUUCCACCUCACUUGCUACUCCACGUGUUACCACAUCAAGUCGCUUGGAUCAUCACCUCCGGAACCUGCAUUC